CAGCCGCCGCGGUAAUACGUAGGUGGCAAGCGUUGUCCGGAAUUAUUGGGCGUAAAGGGCUCGCAGGCGGUUUCUUAAGUCUGAUGUGAAAGCCCCCGGCUCAACCGGGGAGGGUCAUUGGAAACUGGGAAAUUUGAGUGCAGAAGAGGAGAGUGGAAUUCCACGUGUAGCGGUGAAAUGCGUAGAGAUGUGGAGGAACACCAGUGGCGAAGGCGACUCUCUGGUCUGUAACUGACGCUGAGGAGCGAAAGCGUGGGGAGCGAACAGGAUUAGAUACCCCAGUAGUCCCUGUCUCUUAUAC
rnacentral:rRNA from 1 species